AAAAAAACCCUUCAACUAUAAAAUAAACUAAGGAAAUGCCGAAGGCAGCUGACAAAAACUUCUCGUAUAAUUGCAGCUUUAUUUUGCCAAAUUCUGAGCCGUCAUUUGCUGCCAGCAGUCCCACCUCUUCCAUCCAGGAGCUGGUGACAUUGAUGGAGCUGCAGUCCUGCACA
rnacentral:lncRNA from 1 species